rnacentral:other from 1 species
AUUUUCACGGCGGCCCCAGGGACACACGUGUUUUCAGUGGGACUUGGAAUUCCAGAGAAUUGGCUUUUGUGAGAAACUGGCAAUAAUUUCUUUAAAUUCCAUCUCCUAGUUUUCUGUGUAAGUAUUCGUGGUAGUUUGCAGGUUU